ACAACCUCACUUGAACAUGAUCUAUUCUAUAGGCUCAUACAUCGGUGUCCCUAAUUUGUAAGAAGACAUGAACCUAAGUCUCGUGUGCAUUAAUUAUGAUUGUGUGGUCAGAGCAUGACUAAGAGGAAGAAUCAUUACGUCCAACAAACAUGACUCCCAUAAAAUGAAAAAGACU
rnacentral:snoRNA from 1 species